rnacentral:rRNA from 1 species
AGAGUUUGAUCNUGGCUCAGAAUGAACGUUGGCGGCGUGGAUUAGGCAUGCAAGUCGAGCGCUCGUAGCAAUACGGGAGCGGCGAACGGCGUAGGAAAACAUAGGAACGUACCCUCUGGCCGGGGAUAGCUACGGGAAACUGUAGGUAAUACCCGAUGAUCUCUGCGGAGCAAAGGUGUGAUUCCGCCGGAGGAGCGGCUUAUGCGAUAUUAGCUAGUUGGUGAGGUAAUGGCUCACCAAGGCAAAGAUGUCUAGGGGGUGUGAGAGCAUGGCCCCCACGACCGGAACUGAGACACUGUCCGGACACCUACGGGUGGCUGCAGUCGAGAAUCUUCCGCAAUGGACGAAAGUCUGACGGAGCGACGCCGCGUGCGGGAUGAAGGCCCUUGGGUUGUAAACCGCUUUCGGAGGGGAUGAAAUCUUUGAGGGUACUCCCUCAAAGUUGACAGAGCCUCAAAAGAAGCACGGGCUAAGUACGUGCCAGCAGCCGCGGUAACACGUACUGUGCGAACGUUAUUCGGAAUCACUGGGCUUAAAGGGUGCGUAGGCGGCAAUCCAAGUCAGAUGUGAAAUGCCUGAGCUUAACUGAGGCACUGCGUUUGAAACUGGAUUGCUUGAGUAUUUCAGGGGUGUGCGGAACUGCCAGUGGAGCGGUGAAAUGUGUUGAUAUUGGCAGGAACACCGGAGGCGAAAGCGGCACACUGGGGAAUAACUGACGCUG